GAUUAACGCUGGCGGCGUGCAUAACACAUGCAAGUCGAACGAUGAAACUUAACUGAUUUCUUCGGAAUGAUUUUAAGUGGCUUAGUGGCGGACGGGUGAGUAACGCGUGAGUAACCUGCCUUGGAGAAGGGGAUAGCCUUUGGAAACGAAGAAUAAUACCCUAUGAUAUGAUAAUAUCUCAUGAUAUUAUCAUCAAAGAUUUAUCGCUCUAAGAUGGACUUGCGUCUGAUUAGUUAGUUGGUGAGGUAACAGCUCACCAAGGCAGCGAUCAGUAGCCGGCUUGGGAGAGUGGACGGCCACAUUGGGACUGAGACACGGCCCAGACUCCUACGGGAGGCAGCAGUGGGGAAUUUUGCACAAUGGGGGAAACCCUGAUGCAGCGACGCCGCGUGAUUUAGAAGGCCUUCGGGUUGUAAAAAUCUUUUGUAUGGGAAGAAAAUGACAGUACCAUACGAAUAAGGACCGGCUAAUUACGUG
rnacentral:rRNA from 1 species